UUGGUUCUUUAUUACAUGGCAAUGUUCAGUCGUCCAUAGAUCCAACACCGAAGGAAUAUGCAAUGUACGUGUCGUUUCUUGGUGAGAUUUGGGUGAGAGCUUUAAGACUUUUGGUUCUUCCUUUGAUUGUAUCCAGCUUGCUUUUGGCAGUCGCUGAAUUGGAGUCAAAACAGAGCGGAAAAUUGGGAAGAAGAACAUUGCUGUAUUGUCUUAUGACUACAAUGUUUGGGGAGUAAUUUGUUUAUUUGCAUUUAACCUGGAAAUGUUAACGUGAAAGAACCAGAACCGAACGAAGAAAAAGUUGAAACAAUACAUUCUGUGCUUGAUCUUAUAAGGCUCUUGUCCACUGCUCACUGCGAAAAUUAACUGUGAAGUGUUAAGUAAAGAAAGGGUUGCUGAAUGCUAUGUAGCUGAUCUUCAAAAUAAAUCCCAUUUGACCACCAACCUAUGUUGUCGUGACAACAACAAUGAAUCGAGAAGAAGGUUUGAAAGCUUUGGAAACAUCUAUCAAAGCCAUUGAAGAAGUCAUUAUGAACAAGAAAGGAACAUUUGUUUUACAACAAGCUCCAAAGGUUGUCACAGAUAUGGAUGAAGCAGACUUUGCAAAGGAACUGGAAAAACUUGAACGUCAAAAUGCAGAAGUUGAUGGUGAUGAUGAUUAUCCUGAUGAUGAAGAAAAACAAGAUGAAGCAUAAAUGAUUGUGGAUGGUUUUAAAACUUUCUGUGUUUUAUUUUUAUCAUACACGACCUGCGGUUGCCUUGAACAACAAUUCGUUUAACUUCAAACUCAAUUCAAACCCUAUACAUUACAGACAUCAAUUAUUUUCUAUUGACGAUCCGAAAUAGAUAUUUCAUUGUCAGUAUUUCGCGUUUUAAAACAUUUUCAGAGAGAAUGAUAGAUUGGCUGACAAGUGCUAAUUUAAUAACAAAGAAGUUAAACUUUAACCUCUAUUCAAACACCAUUCGGACAUCAAUUUUUUUCUUGUGACUAUUCAAAAUAAUAUUUCACGCCCAUGUUCAAUGUGUUGUGUGAAAAUUUUCAUAGGUUUGCUUAGGUUAAAGUGAAGUCUAUAAGAGAAAUUAAAAUUGACAUUAGUUUGAACCUCUAUGAUUGAGUAUAUCUUACUUGUGUAUCCAAUAUUUAUCCAAGUAUAGUUAGUAGUGUACUGUGUUACACAGUGGAGUGUCUAGCCUCUAAAA